UCAGGACGAACGCUGGCGGCGUGCUUCAUACAUGCAAGUCGAACGAGAAAUUCACUUCGGUGGAUGGAAAGUGGCGGACGGGUGAGUAAUGUGUAGAGAAUCUGCCCUAGAGUGGGGGACAACAGUUGGAAACGACUGCUAAUACCCCAUAUGCGCGUAGUUGAGAUACUAUUCGUGAAAACUCCGGUGCUCUGGGAUGAGUCUGCAUCUGAUUAGCUAGUUGGGGGUGUAAUGGACCACCAAGGCGACGAUCAGUAGCUGGUUUGAGAGGAUGAUCAGCCACAAUGGGACUGAGACACGGCCCAUACUCCUACGGGAGGCAGCAGUAGGGAAUUUUGCGCAAUGGGGGAAACCCUGACGCAGCAACGCCGCGUGACCGAUUAAGCCCUUCGGGGUGUAAAGGUCUGUCAGUGGGGACGAAACCUGACGGUACCCACAGAGGAAGCAUCGGCUAACUCCGUGCCAGCCGCCGC
rnacentral:rRNA from 1 species